GAUUAAGAACGUAGCGAAAUGCGAUACGUAAUGUGAAUUGCAGAAUUCAGUGAAUCAUCGAAUCUUUGAACGCACAUUGCGCCCGCCAGUAUUCUGGCGGGCAUGCCUGUUCGAGCGUCAUUACAACCCUCAGGCCCCCGGGCCUGGCGUUGGGGAUCGGCGGAAGCCCCCUGCGGGCACAACGCCGUCCCCCAAAUACAGUGGCGGUCCCGCCGCAGCUUCCAUUGCGUAGUAGCUAACACCUCGCAACUGGAGAGCGGCGCGGCCACGCCGUAAAACACCCAACUUCUGAAUGUUGACCUCGAAUCAGGUAGGAAUACCCGCUGAACUUAAGCAUAUCAAUAAGCGGAGGA
rnacentral:misc_RNA from 1 species